CUUAAUUGAUGUUUGAGUAUUUUUAUUAAAAACUUAAUAUUUAAAAUUUUUGUUCUUUUUAUUUGUUGAUCUUAUUUUUAUUGGAAGUUCUUAAUUUUCUUUUUUAGUGAAAUCUUGUUAGAGAGUUUUUUGCAGAAAUAAUAAAUUUGGUGCCAGCAAUUGCGGUUAUACUUAGAUUUUAAAAAAUAAUUUUUAAGGUAAAUAAUUAAUUGAAUGUGAAUAAUUUUAUAUAGGUGAAAUUUUUUUUUUUUACAAUUCUUUAUAUUUAUAAAAAAUAAGAUUUAUGGACUAGGAUUAGAUACCCUAUUACUCUUAAUUUGUUUUUCCUUCAAGGAUUAUAGAUAAAAUUUGAAAAUUUGGCGGCUUUUUUAUUUAGAGGAACUUGUCUAUUAGAUUGAUAAUCCCCAAUAAAUUAGUUUUUAAGUUAGUUUUGUAUACCAUCAUUUUAAUAAUUUUAAAAUAAAUAAUUAUUUAAAGUUUUUUAAUAAAAUUAGAUCAAGGUGCAGAUAUACUUAAAAUUAGAUUAGUUACAAUAAUAAUUUAUACAGUGUUAAAUUAAUUUUUAGUAAAAGGUGGAUUUAAGUGUAAUAUAAAUAUAUUUAUGAAAAUUAAGAAUUUAGUGCACAAAUUGCCCGUCACUCUCUUUGAGAUAAGUCGAAACAAAGUAGAGGUACCUGAAGGUGUCUCU
rnacentral:rRNA from 1 species